UGGAGUUAGGAGACUUGUCCCUUGCCUAAGUAUUUUCUUCCUCUCCUAAUUUUAUCGCCUUGCUAAGGAAGUCAAAAGCAGACUAAUUAAGUCCGAGCUAAAGGGCAAGUACUUGGACUGCCUGGCCGACUGCCCGGAGCCGCCAAGAUAACGGGACUUGCAGGAAAUUAAACUCAUCUUGCAGAGGAGCCGAGCCUAUGACGACGGAUGCAGUUCCUCCCACCCUACGCAUGGCUGGCAGCUGCGUGAAUGCUGUGGCCUGUGUCUCCUGCCCCAAAGGACACGGGAGUCUGAGCUCUCCUGCCGUGCCCUGGGCCCUCCAGCUGUUGAUGGGGCAGGACGUCUCCAGUGCUACUUCUGCUCUCACUCUCUCCACCCCUCUGUCACCAAGAGAAGCAGCGAAGGGUCCUGUUCACAGCUCCCUGCCAUUUCCUUUCCACCUUCAUCGUACCCAUUGGCUGCAUGAGAUGGUGGUUUCUGUGCAGCCAUUGUCACCUGCGAUACCUACAGGCAUGAUUCAGCGGGUGCCCGCCUGUCCCAUCACUGCUGGUUUUCUGCUUCCUUGCCUCCCGCCUUCUUACCGCGGGUGCUACCUGUCCCGUUCACCCACGCUGCAGCCCCUCUGUUGCGAGGAUGAAAGAACGGCUGUGACAGUCAUGUGCCACAACCUAACACCCGACUCAGCCUCGGGCCUCAUGCAUGAUGGUGGACCUCUAAUAUUAUCACGGAACUAGACAGCCCCAUUACUCUGUGCCGUGGUGGAGGUCAGACUACCACAGCCCAACUCAAUGUAUGCACAUGUGUGUGGAGGUGCUGCACACCCAGUCACUGGACAAUGGUCAAAGACAAGUUUGCCAACUCAGGAGUUUACUGUACCAUACUGCUAAACUGUACUGCACUAUAACCCUUUGCCUUACUCUUUCAGACCACAUUUCUACUUAGUAACACUCUGCUGUGCUCCACGUAGCAGGCCUUGCCUCUCUUCUUAUGUUUGCAUCUUGUUUGUUCAACGUGGUGCUGGCAGCAGUAGACUGUACACCACGUACAGGGGGCCUUCAAAAAUGCUUGAUGGAAAUGGGAUUGAAAGGCAGGCUUAUUUUGGUGCAAAGAUGGGUUGCAAUUCAUGCAGCAUUUGUUCAUAAUACAUGUAGGUGGACUUUAUGAGAGGCAUGGGUUUCAUUUUUUUUUUUUUGCAACCAAAAGACACCUAAUUUUAAAUCUCAUUUUCCACGAACUUUUUGCAGUCCCAUGGGCUAGCCUAGGCAUGCACUGGGCUAGACUGUCCUGGUUUGUGUCAGCACACACAUGAUGUUCUUGCUGCAAUGAGAUUCCCUAAAGAUGCAUUUAUCAAUAUCCCCUGUGUAUAACACACUCCGUGACAGGUCAUCAGGCUGUGGCCAUCUCCUUUCAUUUGUGUGCUGUCUGGGUCACUUUCUCAUCUCAGCGGUGGAGUUAGUAGCUGCAAAAUCUGAGGGGUCCUCCACCUGCCUUUUAUGGGAAUUGUGUCCACCCAUCUGCCUGAUGCACUGGGACAGGCAGGCAUUGGUUGGUAGAAUAUAA